UCCUGUCUGAAUACCCUGGAUCACAAAGAAUAGUGGUCCACAGAUCCACCCACUGCUCUGAAUCCUUUACCAGGGGUUGUGGACAUGGUACUAGAGAGAAACUGUGCAUACAAAGACAUCCAAACAUGUAAUAGGCACAGAUUCCAGCAGCAGCAUCCAAGGCUGCUUGUGUUCUGGGAGCUGGUCUCUCUCUCCCAGGCCAUUAAGCAAGAGUCAUGACUGAGCUGCUGGACUGGGACGAGAGAUGAGCCGUUGUCCCUCACGAGCACAGAGAUAGAUUAGCUGCCAGCUCUCACUUGCCCUUCCCACACGCACAGAAAAGCAGAAUAACCUGCUGGUAACUCGCAUUGUCCCAGCACCAUUUUUGGCUGCUGUCUCAACUUAUGUCCUAAACAUCCUUUCUGUACUCCUGUGACAAUCAUUCACCAUAGUAACGAGAAAGUCAAGAAGCACAAAAGCUGCUGAUAGAACUGCACACAACCAUGAUGGAGCAAGCACCAUUUAGGCAAGUUCACUGUACUACUGCGGAGCCACAGAUCUUCUCUUGACAGUGCUAGAUUGGGAACACUAAAAAUCCGUGAAGAAGAAAGAAAUCCUUGCUCCAAAAAGAGAAGCUCAGAACUAGGUCGUGUGCCCUCCCCAAAGAGCCAGAUGACAUCGGGCUGGGUUUGCUCUCUGCCGCUCCAGAACACAGAACCAGAACCAAACUGGGGAGCCUGCAUCAACCCUGCUAGCUUCUUCCACGCUGAAACUCUGGUAAAAGCAAGGAAAUAUGCCUGGUUUGCUCUGGUCUGAAGCCUUUUAUGAAAAGGAAUGGGACUAUGGCUAGGCAAAGUCUCUUGUUUUCCCCUGGUGAAACAUUUCAUGAAUGUUCUCAUGGUUAUUCCGAUGCUUGUGGAUAUUUCGUUUCUUUUUUCCUCCUGCUACUGAGAUAUUGGAUUGAACCUUACACCAAAUACAAGCACUUUCACCAAAAAGAAACAAACAGACAGAUUUUAAGAACCUGCUAUUUCUUCCUGUUCGAGAGCCUCAGAAACUCACCUACACUGAGAUGACAGAUGCCACUUGUCAUCGGUAGUCUGGCCACUCCAAGCAGGUCUAAUCAGGGUCAUAGAAACACGAGUGCCCUCAUUAGAGGUGACACUUUUGCAGUACCAACGCUGCUGCACCAGCAGUAAUGAUGAAAGAUUCACUGUGCCAUCAGGUAGAAGAAGCACCCACGUGGAGCCUCACCAUGAUUUCCCUGUUACUCACCUGCAGCUUUACUCAGCUGCAUCCCACCCCUCUCUGGUACCUCUCCUUGCUGAAUCGCAUUUGGGAAACCUCUGCCAGCUCGUGCAGGAGGCUGGUGAGCAGGGAAAUGCUGGCCUGAUCCAUCUUCAGCCUGGGAAGUGCAGAAAAAGCUUUGCUUUGUAUUAUGUAUGGCACUUGGAAACACAAUGGGCUGCUUUGCUCCAUGGUCUCCUGUGCUCCAUCCUCUGGAGGGCCCGCACACCUCAUCCUGUGCAGUCAUCCCUGGGAUGGAGGAGGGUGGCAGUGUCAGCAUGAGAGGGCUGCGCCUUUCCAAAACAAAGCCUUCAAUACUGAACCUUAUACCCAAGCCAUUCAGCUCUUGGCAGGUGCUUUCAGAUGCUUGUGGCUCCAUGGAGCUGCCACAUCACGUAGAGACCCUCCGGGUGAGCCGAACUGGGAUCUCACAUCGCACCAACCCGCCUCUGGGACAUGCAGCCUUUUCCCAGGAGCUUCAGGCAUCCCAUGUUCAUCCCGCAUCACCUCACUGAAGAAAUGAAACUACCUGCGCCAAGGUAAAAAUAAUUGCUGAUACUAAGCCUCAAGUUGGUGAUUCUCUGCUCAGCUGGCAUUAUAAUCUUCCAUGACAAAUGUUAAUUUCCCUUUAAAAUUAAGGAGAGGAAAGGCAAACAGCAACUAAACCUGAGAACAGGUAAACAACUGGCUACUCAAUUUAGCACAGCAGAUACUGGGAGGAUAAUUUCUCCCUUGAACAACACUGCUCAGAAAAUGCUAGGAAAUCUUAUGUUAGCCCUUCACUCAGUCUGUUGUGUUGUGUGUUUUUUUUUUUUUUUUUCCCUCUCCAGCAGCAGCAUGAGUUAAGGGUGAAGCAUUAGCCCUCACUGCAAUACCCCCACUGUCAGCUUAAGUCAGAUUCUUCCUGUUAUUUAUAUGUACCCUUUUGUAAGCGUAUCGAUUACACAAGUGAGUUCUCAAGUACUCAGGCACUCAAUACAGCCACACAAUGGAGAAAAGCAUCCAGGUUAACACAGAAUUACACAUGUGCUAAACAUACCAAGGGACGAGAAUAAAUACUUACAUGUACAAUUCCAAGCCACAAGUUAAGAAUUAUCUAUUUUGUUGCAAGGCAGAACUUCGUGCUAUUAAAAAUAAAAUGUGUGUUUUAAUUUCUGACGUGUAACAUCCAAAGUUUCUCAUGGUUAUUCUUAGCCAUGGCAGAAUUGCCAUCUUUCGGCCACUUUUGACACACCAGAUUAUUCCACAACAACCCAAAAUCCAAUGCAGACCCCUCCCUCCCCUCUGUUCCUUUUACCCUUUGCAAUACAAAUGCUGUGGGGAAGGACUGCCUGUUUCACAAGGGGCUUGGUAUCACAGAAAGCUGGUUGUUGAUCUCUGGAUGCCUGCAGGCCAGCAAUCUGUGCUACAAGUUACCCCUCUUAAAAAAAAAAAAAAAAUAAGACAAGUGGAUAAAACUGAUACAAGCAUCUGUAACAAGCUAAUUGGACCCUUGUGGGCAACAUAGCAGAUACAAAAUUAAAACAAACAAACAUCUCAUUGUACAACUGUACUUUCAGGACCAUUAUCACAAAGGGAUCCUUCUGGAUUUUUUAGUUUUGUUUUGUUUAAAAGGACCUAAUUAUGGCCAGAGCUGGAGUAUCACAAGUCUGUUUUCAUCUAUAAAGAAAGGAUAUUUUGCCUCUGAACCUGAGAAAUUGUUAGAAGUUGGUAAUUAGUAUGACUUGUUAAUAGAGUUUGGCUGUGAUUAAGCUGUGAUUGAGUGUGAGUUUGGUUCUUGUCAAUGUGAAUGCCUGUAAGGUUGAGAGAUGUUUAAUGAGACACCUGUUGUCAGCAGCACCCGGUGGGCUUUGUCGCGCCUGAUUGGAAUUUGUACUGCAGAGCAGGAGUGGCACAGCGCUGAAGUGCGGCAGCACAUGGGCACCUGGCGGAGCACGAAGCGGCCCAAGUGUAAAGGAGGGUCAGACCCAUGCGGUACAGCUGCCCAGCUGCAAAGGCUGCCCCUCAGUGAGAGCAGGCCUGCCUGCCUCCUGUAGCACACCUUUCCAGCCUUCAGAAAGCUGUUGUUGAGCACCCUGGGGACAGGCUGUGCCCAGCAGGUCAGGUGAUGCUCUGCAAGCCGUCAGCUGGUCUAGUCCCAGCCAUGGUGUUUGAUAAGAGAAAUCCUCCUUGUCUAUGCAAUUACAUCUGGCCUGGGGAGUGCAACAGGCAAAAACUGUUGACAUCUUAAUUUAUCCCCUAUGGGGCUUUGACCUGUGCCACAAUGUGAUGAUGGUGAGUCCUUGGGAGAUACAGCCAGGCAGACUUAAGGCCUCCCAGGUUCUUGGGUAGCCAGCAGCACCACGGCUCUUCAGAAUGUGACCCCGAUGGAGACGGGCUCUGCUGAGCUCAGCCCUGAUCCGUCCCUUCAUCUGGGCAUCAUCCUCAAGCAAAAAUGUCCCACUGAACAACCUCCUUGGCUAGCAAGAAAGUUUCAUUCAGAGACUGUGUUUUUGUCUCAGCAGCCAGCACAAUUUGCCACGACUGCACGCAGCCACUCUUCGCUCCAAAAUCCAGGCCUGAUGCUAACUGUGUAUUUGGGCUGCAUAUAUGAAAUAUUACUUCCCCCAAAACAUCUAUUAAACAUUUUCAAGUGGCUGCAAUUUAAAACAUACCUCAGUUUUACAUGCCAAAGGACAAGCUGGAAUCAAUCAAGCUGGCCACUUUCAGAGUCUUUUAAUACCCGAGGAAUACGUUAGCUAGGAACAAGAGCAGCUACAUUUCAGCUCAUGCAGCGUCCCUGAGGAAUGAGCCGUUGGCUUUGUGAUGAAUCUGAGCAACCACUGGAUGGCAUUGCUCUACACGAAUGUACCUGCGAGAACACGCAGCUGAGUGCGAGCACGCUGCUUCGCCAAGAUUAAUUCAGACCCGAGAGGCUCAGGCCACUGUGACCUUACCAAGCCUUUAAAUAACAGUCAGACUUCUCUUGGCUAUCCAGCUGUGGGCUCCAGGCACAGACUUUGGUCAGAGCAGACUUCCCAAAGCACACUUACUACUAGGCUGGGUGUAUUUUUCUUUCAUUUUAUGUUAGAUCAAAUAUUCAGCCAGUUUUUGAUGGCCUUCAUUCUUACGAGAUGGGAAAAAGAAUCAUUUGUAAUUUGUGAUCGGAUCAGCCUAACACAGGGCACACACACCUGGCUAGCAAGUUAGGACUUCACAAAAGCCCUACUCCUGCAGCCGCUCUGGCCAGCCAGCGCCACCUCCCAGGGCACGGGGCUCACCCUGGUGAGGCGCAGCUAAACCCGUUUAUCCAAGCAGGUUAGUCGUGUGUCAUGUGAAAAGCAGAACUGAAGAGAAAAAAAAAAAAAAGAAAAAAAAAAAAAAAAAAACACAGGGUGUCAGGCAUGUUCUGCUUUCAUGUGGCUCUCGAGUUUUAUCCCAAGUGCAGUGCCUGUCCGUGUCACAGUAGCCUCUCAGCAUGCACAGUACAACUCUGCCUUCUGCUACAUCACUUAUUGAUAAGGAGUCAGCUGGUGGCCAACUAACCUGAUGUUCCUAUUUUCCCCUGGAGGUCUGUGUUUCUUCCAUUAACAACACACUGUGUUGGCCUAGUUCUUCUAAUGACUACAUCUGGCCAAGCCUAUCCGAAAAUGUCAUUGGCCCAGUUCAUGCCCAGAAGAAAUCCACUGAUGGCUCUGGAGAAGCAGCAGGAUAUUUGGAAUUGCGGCCCUGCAGAAGGUGUGUCGGAAGGGGGAUAAUGCAGUACUUGUGAGAGUCAAGUCUGAAGGCAGUUGACAGCCAUACUCAGCACAUCUAUCUUCAACUUAGGAAGUAACAUCAUCAAAUUCCUGAAAAUACUCCUGUGGAGGUUCCAGCUCUUGGGUAGCAAAUCUUAAGACUGCCUUGUUUGUACUCGUUAUCUUUUCCUGACUCUGCGCAAGUAAGUCAUGAGCCCUGAGAUUUGUAGACCACGGUCUGAAAAAAGAACUACUAAUAAUAAUUUGUGCAAGCCAAAGUUCUGAAGUUGACAGAAGAAUUACUGAAAAAAUUCCCUGGUUUCUGACCAUACGGUCUUUAAAUCCAUGAAGAUAUGUUGGGACUGUAGUCUAGAGGAGCUAAACUGAGCAUAUAUUGGAUAACCUUUUCCUUUAAUAGUUUAUUUCUGGGUUGGGAAAAAUACUGUGGUAUUUUUAUACUUGAAAAUGCUCGAUUUUUUUUGUAUGUGUGUGAUCAUAUUCAAAGCCUGAGCACACACCAGCUGGUAGGAUUCUACAUCACAACCCAUACCAUGCCCAUUACAGCAUAAGCCUGUUAAAAAAGGAAGGAAGAAAUACAAAUAUUUCAGGCUAUUCUUCUAUGCCAAUUUCCAAUAUUUGCUUCCCUCCUUCCAUGAAGCACCAGCAUGGAGCAGAGCAGGUUUAACACGUUUACAUCACACAAGAUGCUCGUCUUUGUAGGAAACCUAUAGUCUGCUGGCCAAGAGGUGACACUAACAAAACACACUGUGCUGUAACUAAUUAAGAGAGGGGUGGGUUUUUCCCCCAUCUUCAGAACUAAUCUGCACAAAUGUUGCUGCACUGAGUACAUGACAAUAAACAAAUCCCAGUUCAAGUUUCCCGGCACGCUCUGUACUGUUUGGGCAUAUGCUGAAUCGCACUUGGACUUUAAUAAAGAACUGAUGGUUCCACUUGCACAGGGAGCUGUCACACUGACGUGCGAACCUCUGAGGUUGCCUCUCGAUAACUCCGAAGUGUUCUUUUAUCUGUUUGUCUCUUGCGCUGCUAAUUGAGAAUUGUGUGAAAAUCUGUGUUCAGAUGUUUACUCAGGAAUGGGCUCAUCAGACACUUCUGGCCUGAACAAAGAAGAAACAGUCAUUUAUAGCACGAGCUGAUAAAGUUCCUCAUUGUUUUAAUUCUGCAUCAGCAUUUAAAGUGACCCUAAUCUGCUCUGAGCAAUCUGUGACUCAGCAUGUGUUAUAACCAUAUCCUCAGCAGGAGAGGCAACGUGGAUGCACACGGAGAGGGGUGCAGAGGCUCUGCAGGCAGGUAUCAUCACUUCACAAAGUGCUCUCUGCAGGUACAACUUCAGGACCUUUCAGAUCACAGCAGGGCAGGGACAGAGACGUGGGCUUGACCCCCAUGGCACCAUGCCCUGCCAAAGCAGUGGAAACCACACAGCAGGUCUAAGAGGCUGUAAUUACUGUAGGACGUAGGAGAUAAGAGCAGUGACGCGGGGUCACACCAUCCAGCCCAGUGAUUUCAGACGUCCAAUGACGAGUAUGGGGACAGAGCUGGUACGGGAGAGUAUUUUGUGGCACACACUCCCAGAGGCUUUCUAAACCAAAGGAUGCAAGUAGAUCAAGUGUUAACACCCUCCAACUUCCAGCUGGAGUCUCCUUAAGCCUCUUAUUCUACCUACCCUGAAACCACCAAAGGUUAUCAUGCGGCUUGGGAGGAAAGCAGACGUGCUCCUAGUCUGUUCCGCAGAGCAUAAGCCUCUGCAAUCACAGGAGAAGAUCCAGGGUAAAACCUUAAACUCAAAACUCCCUUUAGAGGCAUGCAGCUCUUCACGACAUUCACAUCACCACGGAGUCAUCUCAGAAAUUCACACAGGUCAGACAGAGAGGUGACUCCCUGCUCAGAGUCAACUCCUGCUUUGCAAGCUCCAAGAAGAUCAAUUUGGGCAUUUCUCCCCAUGCCCUGUAGCUUGUACAACCGUCCAGGUUCUUCAUUGCUGUUGCAUUUACUUUGUCAUCUAUUACUGAAGUGAGACAAGGAACACAGGAGUGAUUCAGCAGACCGCUAGGGAGCAAAAAGAAAGGAGGAACUGUUGACGUUCUUGCUGAGACAGCUUUAAAAUUGUUUGUAUGUGUUUGUGUGUAACUGGACAGAGGGAACGAGCGUCCUGUAGGUGAGCAGCUGUCAAGAAAAGGCCUCCAUUACUGCUGAGAUGUCAGGCCAGUGGUUGUGGCACAGAUGUGCUGGAGCUACUCUGAGUUUCUGCACAGAUGUUGCUUGCCAGCACCAGUUCAGAGCCAGCUGCUGUGGAUGCCUGGAUACGGGGCUUGGGUUUCCUACAGAAAUUCUCAGAGGCUAAAUGGCAAAGGUCCUCUGGUUCAGAUGGAAACCCUGGUGCUCUGUCCAGACACAAGGAGUCUGUUUUAGAAAGCAGAUUAAUGCUGUAUGCAAGGAUUUCUGAGCCAGCAAGUUGGGCUGUGCUUCAUACUGCAAUCAAAGAAAUUAGAGGCAGCAAAAGGUUACAUCAUCCAGGUUUUAAUCCAGAGAUACACGUACUAAAAAAUGUGGCACAUGGUUAAAUGCUUUGCUAGGUCAGAGACCUAAUUUGCUCCCUGUCAGUAGGGCUGUUCUCUAUCAUGGACAUUGUUUGGGCUAAUUAGACUGUGCUCCUGGCCAUCGCAAGAACAAAACCCAAGGCAUGAAUCCUCUGGCACUUCUAAGUGCUGUCAGCGUUUUGCAGAUAACAACAAAUAAUAAUAACAACCUUUGUGUUUGAGGUCUGUGCUCGGGGUGGUUUCAGGGGUGAUCAGAUCUGGCAGGAGGAUUUCCAAGCCAAUCAGGACAGCCCCAGCCCAGUGUGAAAGAUGCCCCAGAUACAAUCCUGAAGGCAGAGUUAUUUUUGUGCCCUUUUUUACCUCCCUUCUGCAUCCGAUUUCUAACUGUUCUCGUGGCUCAUCCCUCCCCAGUUCUAAGACUUUAAAUGCUAAACUGCAUCUUGGCUAGGUCUGAUUUAGGGCUUAUGAAGUACAUUUGCUAUUGCAUGGCUAAUUUGCAUACAAAAUUAACUUCCAUGCACCUACACACAGAGACUGACAGUUAUUAACAAGCUCUCCUGUUCCUGGAUUCACCUACUCGUUGCAGCUGGUUUGUAAACUUGGAAGAAAGGGCCCUUCCUGCACCGUGUGUGCGCAGAGCCCAGUCUUCUUCCCUCAUCAGCACACUGAGGCACCGCUGCAAUGCAAACAACAUUCAUAAUGCCAUAAUGCUUGCUACACGUGCAAAUUUGACACAUAAUUGGGCACAUAUUUUGUGCAUGAAAUGCCACAGUCGGCUUCAAGACGUGCUCCCUCAACAUGGUCUCUGCUUUGCUUUCCAAGAGCUAGAUUCAUUUUUUAACCCAGCUGAAGCCUUCCUAUUCCAUCAUGUAAUAAAGACACUGAGGACAAUCCUGGGUUAAAGACCUGGUUUUUAAAAAUUAAGGUUUGUCUGCC